rnacentral:tRNA from 1 species
GGGCAGGUGGCCGAGUGGCUAAAGGCAACAGACUGUAAAUCUGUCGGUAAUAUACCUACGGAGGUUCGAAUCCUCCUCUGCCCACCA